UACAGAGGUCCCAAGCGUUGUUCGGAUUUACUGGGCGUAAAGGGUGCGUAGGUGGUCGGGUAAGUCUCAUGUGAAAUCCCGCAGCUUAACUGCGGAACGGCAUGGGAUACUAUUCGGCUCGAGGAUUGGAGGGGGGACUGGAAUUCCCGGUGUAGCAGUGAAAUGCGUAGAUAUCUGGAGGAACACCGGUGGCGAAGGCGGCAUCCUGGACCGGCAUUGACGCUGAGGCGCGAAAGCUAGGGGAGCAAACGGG
rnacentral:rRNA from 1 species